UGGGUACCUACCUGUGAGUGAGGGAUACCGGACAGAAAUGGCCGACAAGCCCGCAUACGCCCUUUUUUCUGUCAAGGAGGGAGAGGAAAGCUCCGCAAGGGGCGCUCAGAGAUGGGCCUGUGGCCGAUUAGCUAGCUGGUGGGGUAAGAGCCUACCAGGGCGACGAUCGGUAGCUGGUCUGAGAGGACGAGCAGCCACACUGGGAUUGAGAACGGCCCAG
rnacentral:rRNA from 1 species